AACCGGUUUCCAUACAAUCACCGAAGUUAAGCAACGUCGAGCAUGGUCCGUACUUAGAUGGGCGACCGUUUGGGAAUGUCAGGUGCUGUAAG